AACUAUGUGGAUGCAAUCCAUGAGUGCUACAAAAAAAAAAGCUCUAUAAUUUACUUAGAGUCAGACAAACAUUUAUUACAUGUCAAAUAGACACAGUUGGAUAUAUUUAGUUCAAAGUAGGGUUGUAAUACGUGAUCGGGUGACAUGGACAGUUGUGAUUAGGCACGUACGAGCGAGUUUGAGUGAGUAAAUUUGAAUUAGCGGUAUCCGAAUAUGACCAUCUAAUAUAUGUAAAAAAUAGGUGGACUAGUUUAAACAAGAGGAAACUCAGUUAACUUAGUAGACCCAAGUCCAACACAAAAAUCCUAAGUUUGAUCUCUCUCUUUCUCGUUCUCAUUUUUGAAACUCGAAACCUAUCUUCCUUUGAAUCUUGUCUCUUCCCCUUUCUCUAUUACAUUUUAAUUUCAAUAGAUUUUUCAUUCUUGAACUUAUACUAACAGUCAUUUUUUUUGUUUCUUCUGUUUAUUCUAAAUCGGACAACGCUUGAAAUGAAGGAUUGAAAACUGAGGAACACGAUUUGAAAGUUGAAGGUUUGUAGAUUAACAAAGCAACACCAUUUUGAAGGUUAGUUCUAUAAUUUUCUAUUUCUUGCUUUUAGGAUUUUGAUUUCCGUCUUUGUUUUAAGUUUUAACUUGUUUAUAUUUGUCUUUCUCUUUAUUUACACACUCUGAACUAGAUUAUAUGAGAGUUUCUUUGAAAACAUAGGGAAAUAUUAUCUUGAAAGAUUAGUUUUUGUGCUUUUUAUUGUGCUUUCAUGGUUUUCAAUAUUUAAUGUCAUAGUGUUGUAAAAAAUAUUUUCUGAUUAGUGAUUAGGGUUUUCUUUUAAUAUAAUGUUAUGAAAAAUUAUUUCCUAAGGUUUUAUAAGUCUUCAAUUGUUCUCUUAUGGUUGCUUCUAAUUCUAAUUAGGAUUAAGGGUUUUGUUUGCAAUUUGUAAAGUUUUUGUGUGUGUCUAAAAUAGGUCUUUUAUUUUUUAUUUUAUGAUUUAAGGUUUAGCUUCUAAGUUUAACAAGUUUGUAUAUUUUUAAAGAUCUAUAAACAGUUUUUAACAUGUUUGUUUAAGGUUGUUUCUAUUUAGGAGUUAAGGUUUUGGUUUUCUACUUUUCAAUUAAAAUUUUGUCUCUGAUUUAUGGUGUUUUUUUAAGACUUGUUUUUUAAUUUUUAUUUUAUAAUGUAUGGUUUAGAUUCUAAUAAUAACAUCUGUGAAAACUUUUAAGAUUGCUUCUAAUUAGCAUUUAUCGUUUUUUUCCGCGUAUUGUAUUGUUUUUUAUUUGAGGCAUGUCUUUUUGUUUAAUUAUGCAUACUGCAUAUUGUAUUGUAUAUUUUUAAGAACUAUCUAUGUAUUUUCAAUUUGCUUGUUUAAGGUUACUUGUAAUUAGGAUUUAGGGUUUUAGUUUUCUACUUUAAUAUUUUCAUUAAAAUUUUCUUCUAACUAUAUGGUUUUUUGUUUGAGACAUAAUACAUAAAAUUCGAAAGAAGCUAGCUAGGAAGGUGUUGGAAUUGAAAGGGGAUGAAGAAUGGAACCAGAUUCGAUGAUUAUUUUUUGUAAUUGCAUUUUGAAGUUUUUUCAAUUUUGAUUAUUACUGCUAUGUUUAUUUGUGUGAAACAUUCUUGUUAUUUAUAUUAGUUAAAACACUACUCAUAAUACUUAUAAUUAAUGAGUAUGUAUCUUUAUGCUUAA